AAAUUUGUAUCAUUAUAAUCAGCCAAACUAAAAAGAUAAUUGUUUUGCAUCCUUGUGUGAUUACAUGAACAUAGUAAAUCAACAGACAUAGCCUACCAAAAAAAGAUCAACAGAAGACAGAACCAAACACAAACAAUCUAAACAAGAUGGGCUCUUCCACAUGAGACAUUACCGCCAGAUACACACAACCUAGAAUAUGAACAAGCAACGCAAUCGUUCCACUGCAUUUUUAAUCACCAAAACUUUUUUUCCUCGUUGAACCUGUCAAAUAUUUAAACAGACUAGUGUAAGAGGUGGUAAAAUCUCUGGAAAUAUGUAGAUACGGUUGCCGUUUAAACGGUCAAUUUCUUCAGAUUUGCUAUUACAAAACUAAAUCUGAGAAAAUAUUACAAUCUCUGUGAGAGAGAGACAUUAUGCUCAAGUACAGUAACCGACUAACAUGCCAUCAUCACAUGUACAAAUGAUCCAAUAUCAUUACAUGAACUAAGAGUCAAAACCUGAAUUGCUUAUGUUACAAGAAUUCAGGUUACAACCAUAACAUAACCUCUAGAAGAUUCUCUAAUAUGCCAUCAGAUCCCAACAACCAGCUAUUCUCAAAAAAUCAAGUUCCACUAUGAAAAGAGUGUUUAAAGAUGAUUCUAUAAGUAAAACAAUGAAGAGUUCCAAGGACAGACUUGAUAGCAAAUGUGAAGACAAAACUAGGGGAACCAGUAACUAAUUUAUUAGUUAUACUAGAAAAAAAUGUUUUUAAUACCAGUAUUAUUUUAUUUUCUUUUGCCAGAGGGGAAUAAAGAAGAGAAGAUCUAUCUCCUAAAAUCAAUAUGCUGAACAAGGAAAUACCUGAGACAAUAAAGGCUAUAAUUGGUUUUGUUGAUGAUCUCUCUGUUCCAGAUUUCUUACAUGCAUUGUCUACUAUGUGUUGGAUUCUUUUAGAGAGGCUUUUGUAAGUAGCCGCUCUCUUUUUCUCUGCUGCAUUAGUUCCUGGAUUUUGUCGUGUUCCUUCUGCAAAUGAGGAGAG
rnacentral:lncRNA from 1 species